AUGACUAAGAGAACUAAGAAGGCCGGUAUUGUUGGCAAAUACGGCACCCGAUAUGGUGCUAGUUUGAGGAAGCAAAUUAAGAAGAUGGAAGUCAGUCAGCACAGUAAAUUCUUCUGCGAGUUUUGUGGAAAGAGAAAGGUUGUUAGUAUUUGGGGCUGCAAAGAUUGUGGGAAGGUCAAGGCUGGUGGUGCUUACACUUUGAAUACUGCCAGUGAUGUGACUGUUCGGAGUACCAUCCGAAGGUUGAGGGAGCAGACUGAGAGUUAG
rnacentral:lncRNA from 1 species